AUACGACAUGUUACAUAAACACUCAUCUUACUCUAAAGAGAUCUUGUUUAAGAUCAGCGAAUUAUAGGGGUCUGUUUACUUUUCAAUUCUGGGCGAACGUUCCUCGCUUUCGGCACAACUUAAUGUAUGUUUAGAGCCAGAUGUCGCAGAAGACACCUUCGCUGAGCAACCGAUCCCUGAUCUCCCACGCAAAAAUCGACGGACACUCCCGCUUGAACUCAGCAAUCUUCUGAACCACCGGCUGCGUGGCCACUCGUGGUUUUGAUCCGCCGAUGGCUCGUGGCUUGAUGGAACCCGUUUCGUAGUACCUGCGACCAGCAAAGCUUUAUCAGACCAAUUAAGUCAACAGCAUUCGCCGAAUAACGCUUGCUCGUAUGUCGAUCGGCCAAUCAUUCUAAGCGAAACCAAUGGAAGCGAGUCGGGCAGUGGGCGACCAUUCACGUAGACGCCGCCCAAUUGAUUGAUACCGCUGUGGCCAGCAGUCGAACACCCG